CUUGGUCAUUUAGAGGAAGUAAAAGUCGUAACAAGGUUUCCGUAGGUGAACCUGCGGAAGGAUCAUUACAGAGUUCCUGCCCUCACGGGUAGAAACCCCACCCUUGUGUAUAUUAUAUUGUUGCUUUAGCAGGCCGCCUUCGGGCGUUGGCUCACGCUGACCGUGCCUGCUAGAGGACCCUAAACUCUGAAAUACAGUGUCGUCUGAGUACUAUUUAAUAGUUAAAACUUUCAACAACGGAUCUCUUGGUUCUGGCAUCGAUGAAGAACGCAGCGAAAUGCGAUAAGUAAUGUGAAUUGCAGAAUUCAGUGAAUCAUCGAAUCUUUGAACGCACAUUGCGCCCCUUGGUAUUCCGAGGGGCAUGCCUGUUCGAGCGUCAUUUAUACCAACUCCUCUGCAAAGAGGGUCUUGGACUUCGCCUCUGGGCGGGUCUCAAAAUCAGUGGCGGUGCCUUGAGGCUCUACGCGUAGUAAUACACCCCGCGAUAGAACCCUUAGGGUAUCUUGCCAGCAACCCCCAACUUCUUAGGUUGACCUCGGAUCAGGUAGGGAUACCCGCUGAACUUAAGCAUAUCAAUAAGCGGAGGAAAAGAAACCAACAGGGAUUACCUCAGUAACGGCGAGUGAAGCGGUAACAGCUCAAAUUUGAAAUCUAGCGCUUUCAGCGUUCGAGUUGUAAUUUGUAGAAGAUGCUUUGGGUGUGGCUCCGGUCUAAGUUCCUUGGAACAGGACGUCAUAGAGGGUGAGAAUCCCGUAUGUGACUGGCUGCCUUCGCCUAUGUAAAGCUCUUUCGACGAGUCGAGUUGUUUGGGAAU
rnacentral:sRNA from 1 species